rnacentral:rRNA from 1 species
UGUAAGCGUAUACCAAAGUUGUUGCAGUUAAAACGCUCGUAGUCGGAAUUUGGCAGUUCCGGAUGUGUGCACGUCGUGUGCGCACUUCGCGGGGAUUGCUUUUGUGGUCUUGCGUAGGAUGAGGCACUUUUAUUAGUGAACGUCCUCACGCAACCACUUUCUACUGUGGGAAAAUCAGAGUGCUCAAAGCAGGCAUUUGCCGUGAAUGUAUUAGCAUGGAAUAAUAGAAUAGGACUUGGUUCUAUUUUGUUGGUUUGUUGGGACUGAGUAAUGAUUAAGAGGGACAGUUGGGGGCAUUUGUAUUUCGGUGCUAGAGGUGAAAUUCUUAGAUUACCGAAAGACAAACUGCUGCGAAAGCGUCUGCCAAGGAUGUUUUCAUUGA